UAUCUGCUGACGUGGUUUUCUUCGUUAGACUCGUUACCGUUAUCUGAUCAUUUUCCCAAAGCUCAUAUUAACGACGUUAAGAUUCCCCGCGUUACAGUAAAACUUUGGAGGAGGAGGAGGAGGAAAAAGCUUACAGCGGAAGAUAAGUUUGGGUUAUUGGAGGGAGAAGAGAAAGAGAAUUCUCUGAAAUUAUAGUUUAAUUUGUUCUUCAACCGUUUCAGAUCUCCCUCUCCCAAUUCGAAUUUUGUGAAACUAACGUUCUUUCAGGUUCUAUAUAUGUUCACAUUUUUGACCGUAUACAGGAGAAGAAAGGUAUAGCGGAGAUUAUUCGUACAGAUUGAUUGAUUGUGUGUAUAUACAUAUAUUGAAGAAGUAAGGAUAUUGGUUAUUGGGAGAACGCAACUAGUUUAGUUUUAGCAAUGGUUUCAAGCUUGUUUAUUGGAACAAGUUUUAUAUUGAAGAAGAAAAGUUUCAUGCGUGCUGCUGUUGGCACUCGAGCAGGUAUUACUGUUCAGGCAUGUGUUGGAAACAUAAAUUCAGUGGGGGAUGCAACACAUGAAAAGAAAAGAGAAAAUCGAGUAAUCCAUUUUUUUGGAAAUGGACAGGAAAUGCUAAAAUAUCAAAUAUGAGGUCUAAAGGAAAACUAUUUAUCUUAAUGUUUUCGUGCUGUGUUUCUAACCCCAUUAGGUCCAUUCUCUUUCUGUUAACAAUUACAUGAUGUGAAUAGGCGAAUUGGGUUCUUGACAUUCAUGGUUCUAACCUCAUUGUCAGUUACUUUAAUUUAAACCAUGACUAGAAAGAUGAAUAAGUAAUACUUAGUUUUCUAGCUGAUUAAAUUUUGCAACGCCAGUUUGCACAACUUCUAUUCUCAUUCAUGAUCUUGCCAAUCAAUACAUAAUAUGAGAAGAACCAUUUUCGGUUGGACAUUUAGUGAACGCAGAAGUAUUUAUUAAUGAAGUACUUAUGAGUUCACAAGGAGUAUUAGCUGUACAUGAAGCGGAGCAUAUUUUGCUUGAAAGUUUAUACUAUUUUGUUUAUCAAACUGCAGUCUAGCGUGUCAAUUUUCUGUUUAGUAUUUAAUUGGCAAAAUAACUUUAACAUUUUCUUUCAUAUCCUUUUUCCUUAUUGUAUUCUUUGUCAACUUCAAUACGCCGGGUUAAACAGUUAUUUGGGGACUGUGAUCUUCACUGCAGGAGUUGGAGGCUAUACCUAUUUGUUGAACCCCUUUGGUGGGCAGGCAUGAUUACAAGUGGAUCAUGAGUUGUGAUUGUUAUUUCCUGUGCUAAACCCAACAGUUUCCACGAGUUAACUUCAUUCAGGAUAAAUAUGCAUUAGUAUCGUUGGGGUCUUAAUGACAUUUGGAUUUGGAUAUGCAAUGAUUGUUGGGGAGGUUUCCAAUUUUGUGGCCUAUAUUUAUGCUCCAGCAAUUCUUGUGACCCAACUUGGUGUGUUGAGUAUAAUUAUCAGGUCGUCAGCAUAAAGGCUAAAGGAAUUAGAUAGAUUGCCUAUCCGCAGACUUGGUUUUUUCUAGCUGUUGCAGUAAUCUUCGUCUUCACGCAGUUAAAUUAUCUAAACAGGGCACUGGAUACAUUCAAUGCUGCAAUUGUUUCUCCAAUAUAUUCUGUAAUGUUCACCACUUUGACCAUCAUCGCAAGCACAAUAAUGUUCAAGGACUGGACUGGGCAAGAUGUAGUAGUAUCGUAUCUGAUAUCUGUGGAUUUAUCACAGUUCUUUCGGGAAUAAUUUUACUCCAUCUGACUAGAGAACAAGAACCAACAAAUCCACCAAGUAAAAAUUAAGCAUGUACCUGCUACCCAGCUAUAUGAAUCGUCUGUCUCUCAUCUUGAUGAAAUGUAUCGUGGUAUGAUGGAAAAGAUAUAAAAGCUUUGGAGGAUGGACAUUACAUAAUGUUGAAUGAUUCAAACUAUUUCUGCUGAUAUCAUCUCGUUGAUAUACAUUCUACAUUUUGACUGCAAAAGUUGAAAUUGUAUCCACAACUGAUGCUUAAUUUGUGAGCAUUCUUGCGAAAGCACUGCAAUGUUGAGCUUUACAACUAGGAGGCAAGUUCUGGUACAAGCACAAUUUUGGGGAAGGCUAUUGAGUCAAAGUCACCUUGUAACUGAAGCUUGGCGUUGUUCAAAUUUGAGAGCUGUUGUUCAAAUUUGAGGUUUGUACAUACUCGAUGAUGUCUCUUCAUUCAGUUGGUUGUGCAGAGAAUUUUAAUUGAUUCAUGUUGUAAUUUAUUGUGCCACCAAAUUGUUGCAACAUAUUAUGAGUUUUAUAGUGUGAGUAUAUAACAUAGUGAAGAAGGUUGCAGCAGUAAGUUAGAUCAUUUAUUAUCUGAGGAUUUCAUGAUAUGGAAAUCUGGCCUGUUUAUUGACGGGUAAUGACCCACCAUUCUUUAAAAUUUGUUUCAUGUUUGUAUGGUGAGCUCAUUUUCACAUCUAAGAGUAAUUGGAAGAAUUAUUCCCUUUGUAGACAAAUUUAGCUAAAAAGCUAAUGGGGCCAAUUUUUUCGGUAUAA